CGACUUUUCUCAUUCCAUCGAAAGUUCUCUGUUCUUAUCUUUUUUUCCGCAACCGACAAAAGUCUGACGCAUGCUUUCUAAAAGAUCGAUCAAAAUAAGUUAAUGUCUUCAACUCUAAGGUGACCAGAAGAUAGAUCUAUUGAUAACUUUCAUCUUUUGGCAUAAAGAGACCAGCCAAGGUAUGUACCAAGAGCCUUCAACCGGGGAUGCAUAUUUCUUAAAGCAUUUUGUGUAAUUGUGUAAAUAUAAUCUAUAAUUGAAUAGUCAUUUAUGGAUAAAAUAUUUUAAAGAACUUAAAUAUAUAAACAAUAUAUUUUCAGA